GAAAAUGAUGUAUUGGGGGCUAUACUAAAAUUUUUUUCCCAAAAAAAUAUAUCAAUUCACAGCAGAACGCUAAAAACUAUUCCCCAAUAAUUCAUAACAUCCUCGUCUAUCUUGCGGGACCCACGUGUCAGCCUCCCUUCCCGAUCUUCUUCUUAUCUGUUCUUUCCCGUUUCACCCAUCUGUGGAUCCAAAUUGAGGCAAUGCCAGCCUCGGGCCCUGUCAGAGGAGCACGCAGGGCCACCCAAGGAGCAAGCGUGGCCGCCCGCGGAGGCAGCUCGCGCGGCUGCUAGCCAGGCGUGUCCGCUCGCGGGAAGCUUGCGCCCCCGAAGGACCUCCCAUGGCCACCUGAUACUCACCGGCUAAAUUCGUCAAGCAUGAUGAGUUCAAAU
rnacentral:lncRNA from 1 species